GUUGGGACUGGAUAUUAUUCCAAGUAAGUUUGAAAUACAAUACCUAAGCAAAGUGACACAGUUUAUAACUAUAACUAUUCAC
rnacentral:sRNA from 1 species